ACAAAGCAAACAUUUUCAGGCGCAGGAAAGUGGAGUGCGAAUCUCCCGCGGACCCGCCGCUGUAACGGGGGACUGAUCUCUCGCAAGCCCACUGCAUGGUCGUCAAGCCAUGCGGGAAGGGGAGAGGAAAGGACGAUCCCGGAGCCAGAAAGCCUGCCUGGAAAUGGGGAUGAAC
rnacentral:ncRNA from 2 species